GAUCUGCUCAGGAUGAACGCUAGCUACAGGCUUAACACAUGCAAGUCGAGGGGCAUCAGUUUGGUUUGCUUGCAAACCAAAGCUGGCGACCGGCGCACGGGUGAGUAACACGUAUCCAACCUGCCUCAUACUCGGGGAUAGCCUUUCGAAAGAAAGAUUAAUAUCCGAUAGCAUAUAUUUCCCGCAUGGGUUUUAUAUUAAAGAAAUUCGGUAUGAGAUGGGGAUACGUUCCAUUAGUUUGUUGGCGGGG
rnacentral:rRNA from 1 species